GAUGAACGCUGGCGGCGUGCCUAAUACAUGCAAGUCGAGCGAACGGACGAGAAGCUUGCUUUUCUGAUGUUAGCGGCGGACGGGUGAGUAACACGUGGAUAACCUACCUAUAAGACUGGGAUAACUUCGGGAAACCGGAGCUAAUACCGGAUAAUAUUUUGAACCGCAUGGUUCAAAAGUGAAAGACGGUCUUGCCGUCACUUAUAGAUGGAUCCGCGCUGCACUAGCUAGUUGGUAAGGUAACGGCUUACCAAGGCAACGAUGCAUAGCCGACCUGAGAGGGUGAUCGGCCACACUGGAGCUGAGACACGGUCCAGACUCCUACGGGAGGCAGCAGUAGGGAAUCUUCCGCAAUGGGCGAAAGCCUGACGGAGCAACGCCGCGUGAGUGAUGAAGGUCUUCGGAUCGUAAAACUCUGUUAUUAGGGAAGAACAUAUGUGUAAGUAACUGUGCACAUCUUGACGGUACCUAAUCAGAAAGCCACGGCUAACUACGUG
rnacentral:rRNA from 1 species